ACAAGCCGGGGCCGGAACACGCAAGUUCCAUUUUCUCCCUGCUUUUCUCUCUCUCACUGACAAGCACCCUACUUGUGACGGGCCCACUGUCCGUGGGCCAGGCAUCAAUGGGUCCGCUGGACCUACCAGGCUACCAUGUGUCGUUUGCUUUAGUGCCACAUUUCUAAUCACGCUGAGACAUGCAUGACUGAUCCGAUGAACAGCUAAAACCUUUUGUUAUUUGAGACUCUC
rnacentral:lncRNA from 1 species